UACAGAGGUCCCAAGCGUUGUUCGGAUUCACUGGGCGUAAAGGGUGUGUAGGUGGCGGGGUAAGUUGCAUGUUAAAUCUCAAGGCUUAACCUUGAAACCGCAAGCAAUACUACUCUGCUCGAGGACUGUAGAGGAGAAUGGAAUUCACGGUGUAGCAGUGAAAUGCGUAGAUAUCGUGAGGAAGACCAGUGGCGAAGGCGAUUCUCUGGGCAGUUCCUGACACUGAAACACGAAGGCCAGGGGAGCAAACGGG
rnacentral:rRNA from 1 species